ACUGCUACUGCCACCACAGCCCCUCUUCCGGGAACACCGAGCUCCCCAACCCUUACUUCAGAAGUCUGAGACCUCCGACCUUAUAUUUUUGUUUUAUUAUAAUUUUUUGUUCCCUCUUGUCCUUAAGAAAUAUUCAAUCAAUAAAAUUGGACUUCUCCUUUUGGAGGGCUUCCUCACUCUGCUCCCCCCUUUUUUUUUUGCUUUGCUUUCUGCAAUGAGAUGC
rnacentral:lncRNA from 1 species